UCAUGCAUGAGCCGGUGCCCAUCCUCAACUCUUGUCGUCUCUCCAUCACUCAAUUCUAUUGAAGGUGGACAUGAUGGCAAGAGGAAGGGAUGUGGCUGAGAAUAUACGGCAAAACUUGAUCUGGAUAAUACCAGCGAAAGGAUCAUGUCCUCCUCCCUA
rnacentral:ncRNA from 1 species